rnacentral:rRNA from 1 species
UAGCACCUACGGGGGGCAGCAGUGGGGAAUAUUGGGCAAUGGGCGCAAGCCUGACCCAGCAACGCCGCGUGAAGGAAGAAGGCCUUCGGGUUGUAAACUUCUUUUGUCAGGGACGAAGAAAGUGACGGUACCUGACGAAUAAGCCACGGCUAACUACGUGCCAGCAGCCGCGGUAAUACGUAGGUGGCAAGCGUUAUCCGGAUUUAUUGGGCGUAAAGGGUGCGUAGACGGAGAAGCAAGUUAGUUGUGAAAUCCCUCGGCUUAACUGAGGAACUGCAACUAAAACUACUUCCCUUGAGUACUGG